rnacentral:rRNA from 1 species
UACGAAGGGUGCAAGCGUUACUCGGAAUUACUGGGCGUAAAGCGUGCGUAGGUGGUUCGUUAAGUCUGAUGUGAAAGCCCUGGGCUCAACCUGGGAAUGGCAUUGGAAACUGGCGACCUAGAGUGCGGUAGAGGGUAGCGGAAUUCCCGGUGUAGCAGUGAAAUGCGUAGAGAUCGGGAGGAACAUCCGUGGCGAAGGCGACUACCUGGACCAGCACUGACACUGAGGCACGAAAGCGUGGGGAGCAAACAGG